rnacentral:rRNA from 1 species
AACCUGCCCCCAUCAGGGGAAUAGCCCGCCGAAAGGCGGAUUAAUGCCCCAUAGGCCCAGGGCGCCGCAUGGCGCUAUGGGUAAAGCUCCGGCGGAUGGGGAUGGGCAUGCGUGCCAUUAGCUAGUUGGGGCGGUAACGGCGCACCAAGGCGACGAUGGCUAGGGGGUCUGAGAGGAUGGUCCCCCCACACUGGUACUGAGACACGGACCAGACUCCUACGGGAGGCAGCAGUGAGGAAUAUUGGUCAAUGGGCGGAAGCCUGAACCAGCCCAUGCCGCGUGCAGGAUGACGGCCCUACGGGUUGUAAACUGUCCUUUUCCCCGGGAAGAAUAACGCCCCUCGUGAGGGGUGAUGCCGGUACCGGGGAAUAAGGAUCGGCUAACUCCGUGCCAGCAGCGGC